rnacentral:lncRNA from 1 species
CCUCUACCUGUAUCAUACUCUGUUAAUCCCAAUGGACAGACAAUGACUGAAGCCCAGUGUGGCAUGGAGCAGGCCCACCAGCUCCAUUAUUAACCAUUUUCUUUUCAAAUCACCAGAAGUUUCUUUUCCUUUCCUUCACACUUCCUCUCUAGUGAGUGGCUCCUCUCAGUGAUUUUCACUAUGGUUCUUCCUACAUUUCCAGGCUGCCUAGAGCAUUGCAACAGCUCCUCUGAUGUAGCAUGAGGCCCCUGGCUGCUCAUUGUCAUGACAACUGGAAAAACAAGAGGCCUAGGCCACCACCUCAGGAGUUGUAAUGGAAGGAUGAUGCCACCAGUAAGGACAGCCUCAUGUGAAGCCAGGAAAGUGGCUAAAAUUGAAAUAACCACUGUGUGAAAUGAAGUAUCUACAAACCCUCCCCUGGGCAAGCUCCCAACCUGAGGAACUGGCACCAGGAGGUUUGUCCCAAUGUGAUGCAUGAAAUGAAGAUUGUGUAGCUCUCUAAAUCCAGAUUACCAGCUGAUUUCCUCCCCUAAAUUCCAAGGCACCAUCUGUCAAAAUCACGAAGACCUCCACUACCAGGCUCUUUGAGAUGGGAAAGUGUCAUCUCCACUUCUGCAUACAGGAUGCUGAGGAGCAGAACAGCUGAGGCUGUGCUUGCACAAAAAAAAUGAAGGUAUAUUCAAAGUAUAAGGAAAGGCACACACUUGCUGGCCAUAUUUCCUUACCACAGGUAAGGAAACAAGGAGCAUAUGAAAACAGUUUUUUUUGCAAGGACAACAAAUAUUUAUGCCCCC